AUUGAACGCUGGCGGCAUGCCUCACACAUGCAAGUCGAACGGCAGCACGGGAGCGAUCCUGGUGGCGAGUGGCGAACGGGUGAGUAAUAUAUCGGAACGUGCCCAGUCGUGGGGAUAACGUAGCGAAAGUUACGCUAAUACCGCAUACGAUCUAAGGAUGAAAGCGGGGGAUCGCAAGACCUCGCGCGAUUGGAGCGGCCGAUAUCAGAUUAGGUAGUUGGUGAGGUAAAGGCUCACCAAGCCAACGAUCUGUAGCUGGUCUGAGAGGACGACCAGCCACACUGGAACUGAGACACGGUCCAGACUCCUACGGGAGGCAGCAGUGGGGAAUUUUGGACAAUGGACGCAAGUCUGAUCCAGCCAUUCCGCGUGCAGGAUGAAGGCCUUC
rnacentral:rRNA from 1 species